rnacentral:lncRNA from 1 species
GGACAUUUGCUGUUGGUCAACAUAAAAAGACAGCCAUGGGUAAAAUCAAAGGGCUUGCAUAAAUAAAAUGCAUAUGUUAGUCGACUUUUUAAUUUCAAUAAACGGUCAUAAAUCUGACAAGUUCGUGCUUGUAUUUCAAUAUCUAUAAUCCAGUCAUAUUUUCUGUAUCAAUGGUUUCCACGAAUCUUGCGCUUUGGGUAUCAUUUACAGUUUAAAUUUCCUGAGACAAAGUCAUUGCAUAAAUAAAAAAGUCCCCAGUUUUCUAAUCACAGAAAUCAAGUUGUGACAUACCGCGAUUUGCAGUCUUGGAAACAGCGUGUUUCUCUUAACACCAAUAUUUCACGUCAUUCUCGUUAUCAAUCUUUACUCUCGGAAGAUGAUGUUGUCAUC